rnacentral:rRNA from 1 species
UACGUAGGGGGCAAGCGUUGUCCGGAAUCAUUGGGCGUAAAGAGCGUGUAGGCGGCUCGGUAAGUCCGCUGUGAAAGUCCAGGGCUCAACCCUGGAAUGCCGGUGGAAACUGUCGAGCUCGAGUCCGGAAGAGGAGUGUGGAAUUCCCGGUGUAGCGGUGAAAUGCGCAGAUAUCGGGAAGAACACCCGUGGCGAAGGCGGCACUCUGGGACGGUACUGACGCUGAGACGCGAAAGCGUGGGGAGCGAACAGG